CUCAUGAACAGCAACAUGCAAGGCUUUCCUUGCCAGAACCUCUACUGUCGCAGCCAGGGUGUCACAGCUGCCUAGGAAGAGAACGAGUAAACUAUUCUGAAACAUGAAGUGCAGCAGCUGUGGCUAGACAGCAUAACCCAUCUCUGAUAUACAUCAUGUGGACCAUUCGGAUGAGCCAGGAAUAUAGCAGAGACGGCCGGCAGGAAGUGCAGGACUCAAGGGUGGGUAGGGAGACAUUGGAAGGGAAAGCAUAUCUAUUAUUAUUAUUAAUCAAAUUUGUAUACUACCCUUUAGCCGUGGAUCUCAGGGCAGCUCACAGCAUCAAAUAUAUAGUCCUAUUCAGUCAUCAUAUUGUCCCUAGAAUCCAGGGACGUGGGUGGCGCUGUGGUCUAAACCAUGGAUCCUCUUGGGCUUGCUGAUCGGAAGGUCAGCAGUUCGAAUCCCCGUGAUGGGGUGAGCUCCCAUUGCUCUGUCCCAAAAGUAUAGCAGUGCAAAUAGAUAAAUAGGUACUGCUGCGGCAGGAAGGUAAAUGACAUUUCCGUGCAUUCUGGCACUCAUUACGGUGUCCUCUUGCGCCAGAGGCGGUUUUGUCAUGCUAGCCCCAUGAUCCAGAAGCUGUCUGUGGACAAACACCGGCUCCCUCGGCCUGAAGCUAGAUGAGCUCCGCACCCCAUAGUCGCCUUUGACUGGACUUAAUCUAUCUGGGGUCAUUUACCUUUACCUUUUUGUACCUGUCCAUAGAAAUGGGGCCAAGCACAUGAUGCAACCUCUAUGCUGUACAAUCCUCUGGGAAAUUAUAUAAUUGAGAGGUAUUGUGAUUUCACAUGUCACAUGAUGGGAUUCAGAAAUAAUGGGCCUGGCCUGAGUGGAGCCUAUAUAAGUGCACAUUUAUACUCAGAGAGUCUGAUUCAUACUGGAGGCACUGUGCAUAGUGGGGAAGGGUACAGAGCCACAAGAUCUGCUCCCAUGCCCCACUGUGUGUGAACAAGACCUGUGAUAUUUUGUCCACUAAUACAAAAUUAUAAUAUACACCCUACAAUAGGAUAGAACCAUGGAUAGAUAAUUAGGGGGAAACAGAGGUAGAUAAUAGGACAGAAUAAUGGGUAGAUUAUUACACAUUAUAAAGGUAAAGGGUAAAGGGACCUCUGACCAUUAGGUCCAGUUGUGGCCGACUCUGGGGUUGUGACGCUCAUCUUGCUUUAUUGGCUGAGGGAGCCAGCGUACAACUUCCGAGUCAUGUGGCCAGCAUGACUAAGCCACUUCUGGCGAACCAGAGCAGCGCACGGAAACGCUGUUUACCUUCCCGCCAGAGUGGUACCUAUUUAUCUACUUGCACUUUGACGUGCUUUUGAACUACUAGGUUGGCAGGAGCAGGGACCGAAUGACGGGAGCUCACCCCGCCGCGGGGAUUCGAACCGCCGACCAUGCGAUCGGCAAGUCCUAGGCACUGAGGUUUUACCCACAGCGCCACCCGCGUCCCUCUGGGAACAGUAGAAAAGCUUUAAAUGCAUUUUGCAUAGGAAGCACAAAGCUGCAGAGGGAUGCCUUUGCUUGCGCUCUGCUUCUGUUAAAAAGUGCUUGCCAUGCUUCAUGUCGUCAGGGUCAGAAACAACAUCAAUAUCUGCAGAACAAGCACCUUCUAGACAAAGCGGAAGACAAACAACAUGCAGACACACUGUGGGUACAACCAGGGAAAACAGGCCUUGUGGAUCAGGCAGUUCCAUUCUUUGAUUCUGUUGCUCAGUCAUCUCUGCUGCUGAAGUUUAUUUAUAUCCAGAAAAAAUGCCUGCCAUUGUGUUCUGUGCAUGAAAGGAAGGUUUCUGUUUCUAAAGAACUGCACGCAUGUGUGUGCAGUCUCUCUCUCUCUCUCUCUCUCUCUCUCUCUCUCUCUCUCUCUCUCUCUCUCUCUCUCUCUCACACACACACACACCCCAAAUAGGAUCCCUUAGAGCUAGCUCAUAGUAUCUUGGGGGGUGGAGUUUUGUUUUCCCCAAAUACUGUCCCAAGUACAAUUUUUAUUUACAGCAGUACCUCGGGUUCAGAACUUAAUUCGUUCUGGAGGUCCGUUCUUAACCUGAAACUAUUCUUAACCUGAGGUACCACUUUAGCUAAUGGGCCUCCCGCUGCUGCAGCGCCACCGCCACACGAUUUCUGUUCUCAUCCUGAAGCAAAGUUCUUAACCCGAGGUACUAUUUCUGGGUUAGCAGAGUCUGUAACCUGAAGCGUCUGUAACUUGAAGCGUCUGUAGCCGAGGUACCACUGUAUUUCCUCCUCAGAGGAAUGACUAAUAACCACUCACAUAUAUAGGACCAAGUAAAGGGGCCUGCCUACCUGUCAACCUAGCAGUUCGAAAGCACGUCAAAGUGCAAGUAGCUAAAUAGGUUCUGCAACGGCGGGAAGGUGAAUGUCGUUUCUGUGCGCUGCUCUGGUUCGCCAGAAGCGGCUUAGUCAUGCUGGCCACAUGACCCGGAAGCUGUACCCCAGCUAGUAAAGUGAGAUGAGUGCCACAGCCCCAGAGUCGUCCACGACUGGACCUAACAGUCAGAUGUCCCUUUACCUUUUAAAGGGGCCUACUAGAGAAACUGUGAGGCUGAAAAGAAAACCUGUGUGUGUGUUGGACACGUUAGUGGAACAGUCUAUCAAUGGCUGCUAGCCACAAUGGCUAUUCUUAAACUGACGAAGCUCAGAUAGUGGAUAGUGUGAUUUUUAUUAGUUUAGACUGGUUCACUUACUGUGGCCCUCUCUGAAGAGAAUGGUCUUGUCUCAGUUAUUUGUGUACCAGUGACAUUCAGACUGGACUGUUGCAAUACACUCCUUGUGGAGCUGCCUUUCAAGCCGAUUCAGAUGCAUCAUGUGGUACAGUUGGCCAAGUGUUGGUGAAAUCCAGGUGGUUGGAUCAUUUGACAUCUAUAUUGUACCAGCUGCACUUCAGGUGCUAAUGCCAAUUGCCCAGCCCCUCAGGGGGCAAAUAAUCCCUGAGGAGUUGGCUCCUAUGUAGGGGUACAUCAGACCCAUCAGUUCAGGCCUUUUAAAAUGCCCCAAAGGCUUACAUGUUUUCAGCUGUGUUUUCUUAAACAAGAUUUAAUAAAACGGUUUUAGUUAUUUAGCCUGCAUUCCUAACAGAGAAGACUUCAGUGGGACUUACUCCAAGGUAAGUGGACUUACGAUUGCAACUGAGUAAAUUGUUCAUUUAUUGCAUCUUACCUCUUUUACCAGGGUGGAUAUGUUUUUAGUCUUAUUGCUAGUUCUUUCUUCUAAUUCCUUUUUGUGUUAUGGUUUUCUUGUGCUGAAGCUUAUGGUUCUUUAUAUUGUGUAUUGAUUAUUUUAAGCCACCUUGGGAGUGUUCUGUUUGUUUGUUUUUUAACAUUUGCAAACAGUUGAUAAAUAAAUGUUACAGAAAGGGAUUAAUCUCCACCAGCACUGUGGUCCUUAUCCGAUCACCCACAUCCCUUUGGCUCAUUGUGAAUCUUCGUUGUCUCCUGUAGCUUGCAAUCUUGAAGGAGAUAAAAAACUAUUAUCAUAUUAGCAUUACAGCUAAACUGGACAUAAACCUAAAUGCACAGAAGGAAGCAUUCCAUGUGCGUGUGAUUCAAACUUUAAAUAGCCAACAUGGAGGUUGGAUGAGUGAACGGGGUCAGUAGCACAAGAUCAGUACCACAAAACACAAGGAAUUAAGCAUCCACAAACACACACACACACACACACACACACACACAAUGUCAAUGAACCUGCUUGCCCUCAUAUACUUCAGAAGGAAAGUUCCCUUUGGUGACAGUGAGAGCUGAACUUCCCUCUAAUAGUUCUUAUUGCUCUUUCAGGACCAUGCUGGGUGAGAAAGAGUUAAAUGCCCACACAGGAUAGUCCUGCACCUUGCAGGUUAAUUGCUCGUACACCAUUAAUGUCACAUCUAGUUUGGCUCUUAAGUAGUCAAAAUGUCUCACUUGACAUGGCAUUACACUUUGUUUCCCUUUUCUUUUCUGCAUUUCUUUUCUUUUCACUGCUGGAAUACUCCAGGCCACAGAAGUGACAGCUUGCAGCAGGUUGUUUCAGGCCUUUUUUCUCCCAACGCUCAUUUGGAUCAGCUACUUCAAAGCAAGGGGAGAAAUGAGGGGAAGACACCGUGUCUUUUUCAUUUCCAAGUCGGGGAAUGCCAUAUCACACACACAAACGCACACACCACAACUCUGUCAGCAAUCUUUGCUGCCCCUGUCAUUCAAGGAAGUUGCCAACUCAGUUUCGGAAAGUCUCUCCUGAAUAUGAAGAGAAUGUAAUGAAUGAUAGAUCGUUUUUUGUUUUUGUUUUUGCACUCAGAUGGUGCUGGAGAGGGGCAGACCUUUUGCCUUGCCAUUUCCAUGAUAAUGAGUGAGUGGAUGCCCCACUUCAUAAAGACAUUUGCUCAUAAAUCGGGUCCUUCCUUAAAGAGGGCACGUAUUGCGGUGAGACCUGGAAAACCGACACCCUGUGUUGUGGGUGGGUACGAUUGGUCAGCUACAACACCCAAUUGGCAGGUCCCUCAUAGCUGGGUGCAAUCUGGCCAAUGGGACUCAGUCCAAACGGUUUGAGGGACCUAUUUAUACCCAUGCACGUGACCCAGAGCUUCCUCUUUUGGCGCAUGCAUUCGGAACACCCGCCCACCUCUCCCUACUUUUAGGGCUUUGCGCUUGACCUUGCUAUGCUGUCAUGUGUCGUCUGUCGUUGGGACAGGGGCACGGCAGGAAUUUUCCCCACUUGACUGAUUGGCUGUUGCCAUUUGGGUUCCGCCUGCCGCAUAGCAAAUCGUCACAACUUGUAAGGUUGCUGAUAGGCUCUGGUUCAGGUGAUAGGGAUGGGAGAACGCUCUCGCCAUCCCUAUGUGAAGGGUAUUCUGUUAAAGGAAUCCAGGGACUUGAUGGUUUGGUCAACCCUGUGAGAGGGUUUUGCCCAUGCCUGAGUCCAGGGGGACAUUUGGGUGGCGGAGAUAGCCUGUUCCCGGCUUUCCGCUUACCCUAGGCUGACCUACACUGGUGCCCUGGGUCAGCACUACCUGCAUGGCAGGGGGCUAGUCGAACCAGAGCCUAUGCAACCAGUCACUUUCUGUAAUCAAUAAAGUUGUGGCCUAAAUUCUGCCAAAAACCAAACCAAAAUUUGAGUCAUGUGUGAAUUUAUUUAGGGGGAUCUGAACACGCAAUUGCUAUCUGGUGUCCUGGUGAACUCAUCGUGUAAGUAUCUCCAAACACCUUCUUGAAUCCUGUGUGUUGUCUGCACCAACCCUGGCUGAAAUAACCUCCCUGACUGCCCGCUUUUUAACAUCUGCUUAAAUCCAAUACAUCUCCCACUGUCCACAGAUUUCUGGACCAGACAGGUUUGCAUAUUUUAUACUUCCCUCGAGCCAUUUGCAGGAUGUACAGAGGUAGGGCGGAGGUGAGGGGGAGGGAGAGGGAACUUUCUGUUUGCAUAAGCCUGACAUGGUUUUAAAUAGAAUCCUGUUUCUUUCUCAUCCUCUCCAAAAGCAAUAAACUAGAAUGCAUUAAAACACUUGAUGUUAAUUAUUUCAAUAUCCUUAAUAAUUCUCCUCAUUCCGCAGAUAUACUAAAGGUCUAUUAAUCAAAAUUUACGGUAAUUAUGCCUACCCAGGCUAUCCAUUAAAUCUCAAAGAGUAACUUAAAGAAAACCAAGCAGACCUUUUUUAUAUAUAGCUCUUUUUUUUUUUACUUUCGUGAGUAAUGUUGUGGACAUUUUAAUGCGUAGUUUAGAAGCUAUUAACGGUAUAUUUAAAAAUGAGUCCCUAACAGCAGAUUUAUGAGAUGCCAAUUAUCUGAUUUGGCUGAAGCCUCCGGCUGAUUGCACCCCCCCCCCCCCCGUUUCUAAAGCCAUCACAAAAUUAAGCAUUUUUAUUUUUUUUUAAAGCUACAGUAGAUAUGCUAUGCCAGGUUGAGCAUCUUGGCUCUUUUACUCUAAAGACUGCAGAUAAGAGGCAACAAGAGCCUACUGAUGCCCUUUGGAAUAAAUUCAGGGGAAAAUGCAGCCUCUUGUUUGCCUUGUUAGCCUGGCAGGCAAUUGGAUGUGGAGUUAUUAAGUCACUCAGGCAGGAUCACCCAGAAUACCAAUGCCAAGAACUAUUAGCCUUGUCUCAACCUAUUUUAUUUUCCUAGGAUGAGAUGUAGAAUUUGAGGUAAUGAGUCAAACAAGACAAGAGUGAGUACUGCUUUGAGAAUUCUCUGCUCACUUCUUAUUUUAAGCAUAGCACUUUGGAAAGAAAAUGAUGGUGGUAGCACACACCUCAGUUUUGACUACAGUAGACAGGAAUAUGGAACAUGGCUUAUUUUGUGGCCAAAAUGAUUGGGAAGUUAUUGAUAUUAGGAAGAUGCCUUCACUGUUUUAUUUUUGAUGCCUGCUCAAAAUUAUUAUUAAUUAUUAUUAUUAUUGGGACGCGGGUGGUGCUGUGGGUAAAACCUCAGUGCCUAGGACUUGCUGAUCGUAAGGUCGGCGGUUCAAAUCCCCGCGACGGGGUGAGCUCCCGUCGUUCGGUCCCAGCUCCUGCCAACCUAGCAGUUCGAAAGCACCCCUAAGUGCAAGUAGAUAAAUAGGGACCGCUUUAUAGCGGGAAGGUAAACAGCGUUUCCGUGUGCAGCGCUGGUGCUGGCUCGCCAGAUGCAGCUUCGUCACGCUGGCCACGUGACCCGGAAGUGUCUUCGGACGGCGCCGGCUCCCGGCCUCUUGAGCGAGAUGAGCGCGCAACCCUAGAGUCGGUCACGACUGGCCCUGACGGGCAGGGGUACCUUUACCUUUAUUAUUAUUAUUAUUAUUACUACCACCAAAACUUGUUAACUUGACUGUCAGGGACUGACAGGAUGAGGAAGACUGGUGGAAGCCCCCCCCCCCGAGCCCCCCAAGGAAGGCACAGAAGAAGAUGACUUAGAUCCCAGGUCCUGGUGGUGAGUCACAGGCCACACAUCAGAGGAGUGGACAAGCUGGGAGGUACUAGAAGCAGAAGCUUGAGGGAUAGUGUGGCGUUUGUACGGAGCCCCCGGUCAUCUCAUGGACUAUUGACCCAUACACCACUAAUCCGCUGCCACCAACCAGGUCCUCCCCGGUAAAUCACUUAGUCUCAGUCAGGUUCUCAAGUUAACAAAGAAGAGUGUAGUUUAUUGCAGACACAAACAAACUUUAACUGCAUUCCAAAGGUUGUUACUCUUUACCAUCUUAGUCUUAUUUUAUCCUGUCUCUAUCUCUUCUACCUCCCCUCACACAAGAACCCACUGCACUGUCUCUCUAUUUCCACUUGCCUGCCAACUGCUUUUCCAACUGCCUUUCCCAACCAACCAACCCACUAAAACCAACCUACUACCCACACCCAAAUCUCAGGUUAACCCCUUUUAUAAACAGGUAGGAUCCGCCUCCGGCUUUCCUAUUGGUCUACAUUUUAACCCUUUCUCUCCCCCCCCCCUGUACAGACAUUUUCAAAUGAACGGGCAAAUGCCACAGAUAGCGAAGAGGCAGAAGUAAGGAAGGACACAGGGCAGAGUGAUGAGGUUUCCAAUUUGAAUGCAGAAAUGACAGAGGUGAGCCAGAUCCUGCAUCUCUCCCACAGCUUCUCUGUUGAUGGAUCUCUGGCCCCACUUACUCCUAGAAUGUGAAGGAUGUUACGUGUUGUCAAGCAACGAGCCAGACAGGCACAGAGAGAAACACCUGGGGCUCCCCGUAGCAGAAGAUUACAGGGGAGGAGCCCUGACUCAGAAGGCUAGAGAGUGAAGGGGCUGCACAGUAGAGGAGUCUGCCUUUAUGAGCCUCCUUGUAUCCCCC
rnacentral:lncRNA from 1 species